rnacentral:rRNA from 1 species
GGUSUCUUGGAAAAUUGUUUAAGAGAUUUAACCUGCCCACUGAAUAUAUUUGAAGGGCCGCAGUAUUUUGACUGUGCAAAGGUAGCAUAAUCAUUAGUCUUUUAAUUGAAGGCUGGUAUGAAUGGUUGGACGAGGUAAAUACUGUUUUAUAGAAAUUAUAAUUGAAUUUAGAUUUUAAGUAAAAAGACUUAAAUUGUAUUAAGGGACGAGAAGACCCUAUAGAGUUUAAUAUGUGUAAUUUUGGUUAAGUUAUUAAGAAAAUUUUGGUCAUUAUGAAAUUUAUUUAAUUGGGGUGAUAGAAAAAUAAGAUGAACUUUUUUUUAAUUUAAAUAUUUUAAGUAAAUAGAUGAUCCAUAUUUAGUGAUUAGAAGAUUAAAUUACCUUAGGGAUAACAGCAUAAUUUUUUUUGAGAGUUCUUAUUGAAAAAGAAGAUUGUGACCUCGAUGUUGGAUUAAGAUUAGUUAUGGGUGCAGAUGUUCAUAAACUAGGYCUGUUCGACCUUUAAAAYCUUACA